rnacentral:rRNA from 1 species
GAGUUUGAUCCUGGCUCAGAACGAACGCUGGCGGCAGGCCUAACACAUGCAAGUCGAGCGCGCCUUUCGGGGUGAGCGGCGGACGGGUUAGUAACGCGUGGGAAUAUGCCCUUUGGUACGGAAUAGCCUCUGGAAACGGAGAGUAAUACCGUAUGCGCCCUUCGGGGGAAAGAUUUAUCGCCAAAGGAUUAGCCCGCGUUAGAUUAGGUAGUUGGUGGGGUAAUGGCCUACCAAGCCUACGAUCUAUAGCUGGUUUUAGAGGAUGAUCAGCAACACUGGGACUGAGACACGGCCCAGACUCCUACGGGAGGCAGCAGUGGGGAAUCUUGGACAAUGGGGGCAACCCUGAUCCAGCCAUGCCGCGUGAGUGAUGAAGGCCUUAGGGUCGUAAAGCUCUUUCGCCUGUGAAGAUAAUGACGGUAGCAGGUAAAGAAACCCCGGCUAACUCCGUGCCAGCAGCCGCGGUAAUACGGAGGGGGUUAGCGUUGUUCGGAAUUACUGGGCGUAAAGCGCACGUAGGCGGAUCGGAAAGUUGGGGGUGAAAUCCCGGGGCUCAACCCCGGAACUGCCUCCAAAACUAUCGGUCUAGAGUUCGAGAGAGGUGAGUGGAAUUCCGAGUGUAGAGGUGAAAUUCGUAGAUAUUCGGAGGAACACCAGUGGCGAAGGCGGCUCACUGGCUCGAUACUGACGCUGAGGUGCGAAAGUGUGGGGAGCAAACAGGAUUAGAUACCCUGGUAGUC